GCGCCCGUAGCUCAGCUGGAUAGAGUACUGCCCUCCGAAGGCAGGGGUCGCACGUU
rnacentral:tRNA from 1 species